CUUCAUCCUCCUCCUCCUCGCUCUCCUGGCCUUCUCUGCCAAGACAUUCCCUUCCCCUGAGCAAGAGAAGCCCGGGAAAUGCCCACCUCCAAAACAAGACCCAAACGAGAUAGAAGCUCGUCCCAUAGGGUGCUAUUCUGAUGCCUCGUGCCCCGGGGACGAGAAGUGUUGCCCUUGGAAUUUCAACGACGAAUGCCUUCUUCCUGUUUAAGGGCUGACCUUGAAGGAGGCCUGGAUCUAUGGACAGCGACCACCAGAGAAGUCCGUCUGGAGCUCCUCUGCCCAUCUCUGCUGCUCCACUCAAACCCACAUCCAUCCCCACUUGCCCCAUGGAUGAUGGUCCCAAUUCUGCUUUACUAAUCCUCUUCCAUUCACAAUAAAUGCACCAGCCUCCUCAA